rnacentral:rRNA from 1 species
CUAUGCGCCUUGCCAGCCCGCUCAGGUGUGCCAGCAGCCGCGGUAAUACGGAGGAUGCGGGCGUUAUCCGGAUUAUGGGUUUAAAGGGUGCGUAGGCGGUCCGUUAAGUCAGCGGUAAAAUUGCGGGGCUCAACCCCGUCGAGCCGUUGAAACUGUCAGACUUGAGUUGGCGAGAAGUACGCGGAAUGCGCGGUGUAGCGGUGAAAUGCAUAGAUAUCGCGCAGAACUCCGAUUGCGAAGGCAGCGUACCGGCGCCAGACUGACGCUGAGGCACGAAAGCGUGGGGAUCGAACAGG